UCGCUCGGUUUGGAGCUGCAUCUGUGGCUUUCGCCCAGAGAAGUUUCCUGCAACUCAUCGGGACGUUUCACUCCUUUCUCGUGUCUGCUUUUAAGAGCGAAAAAUAUCUAAGACCCCGCUAUCUCUGUAUUUACGGUCUUUAUUUAUUUAUUUUAUUUUUCUUGGGGGAAAGUUACAGGCGCUGCAGGAUGCUCCUGCUUGAAACUUCGGUGGCUACUAGAGGAUCUGGGCAGAGUUCAUCAGCCAGCCGGAGGUUUCUAGGACCAGAAGGCAAAACUGCAGGAAUUGACCCUCCCCUCCAGCUGUCUGGGUGGGAGAGGCCAGAGUGCUUGGCUGGGUCCACUUCUCUUAACACCUCUGAAAAGAGGGCACUACAGUAUGGCAUGCGUUUUGCCGGGCGCUUCUAAAUCCGUCCCUUUAAAAAAACCAGGAGGCAGUGUUGUGAGAGAGCACAUUAGCUGCACUUGAAAACUAUUUGCCCCGAUUACGAAAGCCUUGACUCUGGCAGUGGGAGAGCUGGGGGAGCUUAGAACUUCAAGUCCCUGUAACAACGCCCACCCAGUCAUCUAGCUUGUUUUUGUUGUUUUGUUUUUCUUAACUGCAUUUUUUUUUGUUGCUGUUUUAUCUCCAUCUUCCCAACGGAGAAGUUCAAAGAACUGCUGCCGGCGAGCUCUUCUGAGAAUUUUGUGUUGUUUCAGAUUGUGAGCCAGUCGUACACAUGGAGCCUGAGUGUCCAUGUUGAAAGAACCUACCAGCCACGCAGAAGCUACUGGUCUAUGGACACCCUGCAUUUCAACUUGAUUGAAAAACCCUAGCCAUCCUCGGACGGCUCUAAACGUUUCUCUUUUAAACCGGGGAAGCUUCUCAAACAGAGUUUGCAAGUCUGACAUUGUAAUCUGCGGAAACACCACUUUUGGGAUUCCAGCCCAAGUGGGAAAGUGCAUAACAUCACCCAUGAAUUUUAGCUGCUGAAGACCCAUGACCUUCACUAUUGAACUGCUUCAUUGGAGGGAAAGAAUUGCCUUGAUGUCUGUAAGGAUUAGUGUUCUCAACUGGCCUCUGCAAAGCUGUUGCUAGCCAGAUUGUUCAGUGCAUGGUUGAGGUCCCCCAGUGGUGUUCUUUAAUCCUUCCUGGUGGCAUUUGGUGUCUACUUGUGAUAGUUUCGUGCCAUUGCUUUAAUCAAUUAAUGCAUUUCUUUUCUAGCAUUCUGAAUGAUGUGAAAUAUUCAUGACCUCUGCCCCAAUAAGCAGCAGCAGGGAAAAUCCUCCACUGGUACAUUUGUUAAGCUCCUUGUGGGCUCUCACAUAAUGGUUUAGAAGCAGAUUCUUCCAGCCAAGGUGUGUGGGCUUGUCAGUUUCAUAGACAAGCUAGUGUCAACAGGGUGAUAAUCUUCAAACCAAACUGGUUUUGAGGAGCAGGGAAAACUCCACAAUACACCAUAAAUGGUAAAUUAGCACUUAUCUGAGAGGUACACUUCAGUUCAGAGCAGUCCCUCCACCCAUCAGUCUUUGGCCCUUCAUGACAGGCUUGGGGGUGGAGGCUGAGAGGAAGAGACACAGCUGAGGCCACAGAGAAUCUGUCCCCUAUUGUCAUUCUGCCCCUUCAGGCAAAAUCAAAGUCUUCAGAAAGUCUCUCCUCAUUAGUUAACUUUAGUAUUAAAAUUCUUGGAGGUCAGCAAAAACCAAGCCAAAAAACCCUCCUGGAAUGUGAGAGCUGAGGGAAGGGGCAUGCAUAUUGUGGAUGGGUUGAAGAGACAGGAGAAACAAGAGACAAAACUGUUGAGAAAAAAAAGAAAUCGGAGUAUCAUCAGUGUUUGUUUUUUAUUUUGUUUUCACUAGUGACACAUUCGGGUGGGACCACACUUUGUUGUGGGGCUGCCCUCGCAUUCUGGGACAGUUAGCAACAUCUCUUGGUGAUGCCCACAGAUGCAGUGGCAAAGCACCACUCUAAUCCACCAUGUGUGAAUGAAUCUUGAGGAAAAACUGAGAACCACCACAGUGUUGGAGGGCAGGCUUCUCUUCAUUCUACAGCUGGACACUAGCAGAAGCCGCACUCCCAGCUGGCUGAAGAAUCACGUGGUAUAAGCAACACAGUGAGAGGAGACUACUACACUGAACGGUGGAGACUUCAUGCUAGCAAACAUGCAGCCCAACUACCAGAAGAGGAAUACUAGACGUGGCAGGCCUCCUGACCUGGAUCAAGCACUCGCUCAACUGUCUCAGAAGCAUCUGAGUGUUGAAAUAUGGACAAUACUAGACAGAUAGAUUGGUUAGUUUGCAAAUCUUUAUAGUCUUCACAAUCUCUACCAUCACCUUUCUUUUUAUAACCUUGUUCUGGGCUUUCUCCCAUCCAAAUCCUAACCAGGUUUGACCCUGCAUGGCUUCUGAAAUCAGGCAUUCAGGGUGGUACAACCUAACUGGCCUCAUUUCAUAUUCCCAUUCUCAAGUCAGACAAUGGGAUAGUUUGUAUCAUAAGGAAUGGAGGUAGAGAAGAGUGUGUGUGUGUGUGUGUGUGUGUGUGUGUGUGUGUGUUUGGGUAGGGGGGAACAAGGUAAGAGACAUCAAGAGUGAGAUUUACAAUUUCAAGGGUUCCCCAAUAAAAAAAUGUAUCAUAGGUUAUAUGGGUAGUAUCAGGCCUAAAAACAAAACUCAGAAUCUCAGGAGCCAUUAAUAAAGAGGAAAAUUUCUAUUUGGAAAAUGAAAUUUUUUUCCAGCCUACCUUCUAGUAUUACCACCCAAUAUCUUUUCCUCACAAACAACAACAACAAAACCAAAAACCACCUCUUAAAAGCCCUACAGCUCAAGUCUAUGAUCUAGGAACUUCUUUUAAUUUUUCUCUUGGCACUUUCUCCUCCACUCUCAUUUACUCAGUCUGUAAAAUUAUGAUAAUGUUAAUCAUUGCUUACCUAGCAUACGGUAAUAAUUGCUAAUUAACUAAUUUUUAUAUGUAGAAACCUGUGAAGACAUUACACAGGUGCUAGGCAUUAUUAUUGUCUGGUGGUGAUGAGGAACGCUGUCCUGUUUGAGGGAGGCUGGUUAUAGUGUCUGCUUACUCUCCAUGGGAAUGGAAGCUUAUGAGCCCAUCCCAUGCAUCAUCUCCUUACCAGUUAGUUUGACAAGCAAAAUCCUGAAGUGAGAUGGUACUUGUCUAAGAGCCUGCCACAACUAGUGUUGUGGCCAGUGUUUUGACAAUUGGGAACUCUGGGGCAGAAAGUCAUUUGCUCUGGCAUGGGCAUCUGCAGGGAGUCUAAGCAUCAAGGAUACAAAGUUGCAGCUCUCUAAAGGGUCACCUGUUCUUUGGGUAUAGCACAUAAUCACCAUAAUUUAAAUGCUGUUUCAGGCCUGGGAGAAGAUGCACUUGGAAAAUGUAAAGUGCUUGCUAUAACUGAGGCUCUGAGUUCAGCUCCCCAGUACCCAAGUGCUAUCCCAGUGUUAGGGAGGUGAAGACAGACAGACCCCUGGGUUCACUGGUCAGCAAGUCUAGCCAAAUUAGUGAGCUCCAGGUUCGAUGAGAAACACUGUCUCAAAAUAAAAAAGCAUAAAUAAAUUGAAGUGUGGUUGUGGAA